rnacentral:lncRNA from 1 species
AAGUAUAUAUGGUACAAAAAGAAUAACGAAUACGACUCGAUGAAACCGCCGCUCAAAUCUCCAAGAGAAAGCUACGCAUAUGCAGUAUGUAUAAGCAUGGCACACAUGCUUCUACUGCAUAAUCUUCGCCACGAGCAGGGAUACCAGCGCGGACGACACCACGGCCACGGCGGACGCCGCCGGAGCGGAGGCCGCCCCGGCGAUCGGAGAGGGCGCGGGCGCGGACGACGGCGCCGUGGUGAACUCCUGCGCCGACGCGGAGGCGACGAGCACGGCCGCGGCGAGGAGCAGCACGGAGGCGAAGCGUGAAGCCAUCUCGGGACGAUCGACUUGCUGGAAGGCUUUGAACUUGCUUGCUAGCUCUCGAAGACUCUGCUGCGGCGGUGGCGGUGGCGGUGGCGGUGUGCGUGUACUCUGCUGCGGAUUGCGAUGCUGCGAUGGGGGGAGGAGGUUUAUAUAGGCCGCCCAAGCGGAGGGCUGCGCCGUGGGAUCGGCGGGUCGCAGUCGUGGGUUUAAUUUCUCUCCGUGUCCGCGCGCGUCUGCGUUCCUUCCGCGGGGGGCACGGCACGGCAC